rnacentral:lncRNA from 1 species
AACUUUCUACUUCAGUUUUAUUUAUUAAAUCAAUUAAACUUAAAUUUUCUAAUGCAGAUAUUAUAAAUCUCAUGUUAAUGCAAUUAUAUGAACAACAUAAUUUCUGAUGUGGGAGAUCAACCGUAGUUGCAGCCACAGAGCAUACUUAAACCAAAUGAUAUGCAAGUUUGUUUUAAGGUUUAAGGUUCCUGCACACUUAAACUGGGAUCCCCAGAAUAAGCUAGAUUGUAAAGUGGAGAGAGAGAGAAUUGAUUGCCGUCAACACGGACUUAUACAGUAGCAAUUAUAUAAACUGGUAAAUAAAAUACUCACUUUGUAAUAUAUUUGUAAAAAUAUUACACCGCUACAACCUGGUUGUAGUAAACCAAGGUUUCCUUACAAAUGGUUGAAAA